rnacentral:rRNA from 1 species
CCCUUAGAUGUUCUGGGCCGCGCGCGCGCUACACUGAUGAAUUCAACGAGCGCUAACCUGUGCCGAAAGGUUCGGGUAAUCUUGUGAAAUUUCAUCGUGAUGGGGAUUGAUUAUUGCAAUUUUUAAUCAUAAACGAGGAAUGCCUAGUAAGCGUGAGUCAUCAGCUCACGUUGAUUACGUCCCUGCUCUUUGUACACACCGCCCGUCGCUCCUACCGAUUGAAUGUGCCAGUGAAAAGUUAGGAUUGGGCGUGGGAGACGGCAACGUAUUCCACAUCCGAGAAAAUCUUUAAACUUUCCCAUUUAGAGGAAGGAGAAGUCGUAACA